rnacentral:rRNA from 1 species
ACGGGUGAGUAAUAUAUCGGAACGUGCCCAAUCGUGGGGGAUAACGUAGAGAAAUUUACGCUAAUACCGCAUACGAUCUAAGGAUGAAAGCGGGGGAUCGCAAGACCUCGCGCGAUUGGAGCGGCUGAUAUCAGAUUAGGUUGUUGGUGAGGUAAAAGCUCACCAAGCCGACGAUCUGUAGCUGGUUUGAGAGAACGACCAGCCACACUGGGACUGAGACACGGCCCAGACUCCUACGGGAGGCAGCAGUGGGGAAUUUUGGACAAUGGGCGAAAGCCUGAUCCAGCAAUGCCGCGUGCAGGAAGAAGGCCUUCGGGUUGUAAACUGCUUUUGUACGGAACGAAACGGUCUGCCCUAAUACGGCGGGCUAAUGACGGUACCGUAAGAAUAAGCACCGGCUAACUACGUGCCAGCAGCCGCGGUAAUACGUAGGGUGCGAGCGUUAAUCGGAAUUACUGGGCGUAAAGCGUGCGCAGGCGGUUAUGUAAGACAGUUGUGAAAUCCCCGGGCUCAACCUGGGAAUUGCAUCUGUGACUGCAUAGCUAGAGUACGGUAGAGGGGGAUGGAAUUCCGCGUGUAGCAGUGAAAUGCGUAG